rnacentral:lncRNA from 1 species
AGACUCUCUUCAGGGCAUCUUUAUUUGUGAAUUAUUCAUUACCUAUCUACUUGAGAACACGCAUUUCUGCACAGAUGCAUUGGAAAUCUAUAUAUGGUAGAUUAAAAAAAUGGGAUGCUGCAUGUCCCUGAUCUGGCUGUUGUACAAGUAGCAGACAGGUUGUUCAUACAUUUAUUUAACUAUUUAUUCUUCAAUAAAAUGGCUUGAGAUUAGUGAAAUAACUAGGCUGGAUAGAUCAGAUGUCUCCCUAAACAAAGAAGCCCGGAAUACUUUUAUUAAUUUAGGUUAGCAUUUAAUUAGCUGCCCUGAGGAAAUUGGUAUCUUGACCUCUUUGAGAAUAAUCAUAUAUUCAUAUAUUACAUUAUAGAGAAGGCAAGAAAUAGUUAUGUUAUCUAAAUGCCUGUUUC